GAUGAACGCUGGCGGCGUGCUUAACACAUGCAAGUCGAACGAUGAAGCCCAGCUUGCUGGGUGGAUUAGUGGCGAACGGGUGAGUAACACGUGAGUAACCUGCCCUUAACUCUGGGAUAAGCCUGGGAAACUGGGUCUAAUACCGGAUAGGAGCGUCCACCGCAUGGUGGGUGUUGGAAAGAUUUAUCGGUUUUGGAUGGACUCGCGGCCGAUCAGCUUGUUGGUGAGGUAAUGGCUCACCAAGGCGACGACGGGUAGCCGGCCUGAGAGGGUGACCGGCCACACUGGGACUGAGACACGGCCCAGCCUCCUACGGGAGGCAGCAGUGGGGAAUAUUGCACAAUGGGCGCAAGCCUGAUGCAGCGACGCCGCGUGAGGGAUGACGGCCUUCGGGUUGUAAACCUCUUUCAGUAGGGAAGAAGCGAAAGUGACGGUACCUGCAGAAGAAGCACCGGCUAACUACGUG
rnacentral:rRNA from 1 species